GAUGAACGCUGGCGGCGUGCCUAAUACAUGCAAGUCGAGCGAACGGACGAGAAGCUUGCUUCUCUGAUGUUAGCGGCGGACGGGUGAGUAACACGUGGAUAACCUACCUAUAAGACUGGGAUAACUUCGGGAAACCGGAGCUAAUACCGGAUGAUAUUUUGAACCGCAUGGUUCAAAAGUGAAAGACGGUCUUGCUGUCACUUAUAGAUGGAUCCGCGCUGCAUUAGCUAGUUGGUAAGGUAACGGCUUACCAAGGCAACGAUGCAUAGCCGACCUGAGAGGGUGAUCGGCCACACUGGAACUGAGACACGGUCCAGACUCCUACGGGAGGCAGCAGUAGGGAAUCUUCCGCAAUGGGCGAAAGCCUGACGGAGCAACGCCGCGUGAGUGAUGAAGGUCUUCGGAUCGUAAAACUCUGUUAUUAGGGAAGAACAUAUGUGUAAGUAACUGUGCACAUCUUGACGGUACCUAAUCAGAAAGCCACGGAUAACUACGU
rnacentral:rRNA from 1 species